rnacentral:tRNA from 1 species
AUGUCUGUAAUUUAAAGGCAAAAUACUUAUCUUCGAAAUAAACAAUAGGAGUUCAAGUCUCUUCAGACAUU